CCUACGGGUGGCAGCAGUGAGGAAUAUUGGUCAAUGGACGAGAGUCUGAACCAGCCAAGUAGCGUGAAGGAUGACUGCCCUAUGGGUUGUAAACUUCUUUUAUAUGGGAAUAAAAUGUUCCACGUGUGGGAUUUUGUAUGUACCAUAUGAAUAAGGAUCGGCUAACUCCGUGCCAGCAGCCGCGGUAAUACGGAGGAUCCGAGCGUUAUCCGGAUUUAUUGGGUUUAAAGGGUGCGUAGGUGGAUUGUUAAGUCAGUUGUGAAAGUUUGCGGCUCAACCGUAAAAUUGCAGUUGAAACUGGCAGUCUUGAGUACAGGAGAGGUGGGAGGAAUGCGUGGGGUAGCGGUGAAAUGCUGAGAUAUCACGAAGAACUCCGAUUGCGAAGGCAGUUCACUGGACUGCAACUGACACUGAGGCUCGAAAGUGUGGGUAUCAAACAGGAUUAGAUACCCGUGUAGUC
rnacentral:rRNA from 1 species